rnacentral:rRNA from 1 species
UACGUAGGGUGCAAGCGUUGUCCGGAAUUAUUGGGCGUAAAGAGCUUGUAGGCGGUUUGUCGCGUCUGCUGUGAAAUUUCGGGGCUCAACCCCGAACUUGCAGUGGGUACGGGCAGACUAGAGUGUGGUAGGGGAGACUGGAAUUCCUGGUGUAGCGGUGAAAUGCGCAGAUAUCAGGAGGAACACCGGUGGCGAAGGCGGGUCUCUGGGCCGAUAUUGACGCUGAGGAGCGAAAGCGUGGGGAACAAACAGG